AAAACUUUACAAUGCCGGCAACGGCGAUAAGGGGACCUCGAGUGCCAGGUUACAAAUCUGGCUGUCGUGAUGCGUAAAAAGCAUUGCAUAGCAAGGGCCGGGCAAGACCGGUGCCAGCCGCCGCGGUAACACCGGCGGCUCGAGUGGUAACCGUUAUUAUUGGGUCUAAAGGGUCUGUAGCCGGCCGGAUAAGUCUCUUGAGAAAUCCAGCAGCUCAACUGUUGGGCUUUCAGGAGAUACUGUUCGGCUCGAGGCCGGGAGAGGUGAGAGGUACUUCAGGGGUAGGGGUGAAAUCUUGUAAUCCUUGAAGGACCACCAGUGGCGAAGGCGUCUCACCAGAACGGACCUGACGGCAAGGGACGAAAGCUAGGGGCACGAACCGGAUUAGAUACCCGGGUAGUCCUAGCCGUAAACGAUACUCGCUAGGUGUCGGCCACGGUGCGACCGUUGUCGGUGCCGUAGGGAAGCCGUGAAGCGAGCCACCUGGGAAGUACGGCCGCAAGGCUGAAACUUAAAGGAAUUGCGGGG
rnacentral:rRNA from 1 species